ncrna:Pan troglodytes (chimpanzee) microRNA ptr-mir-142 precursor
CAGUGCAGUCACCCAUAAAGUAGAAAGCACUACUAACAGCACUGGAGGGUGUAGUGUUUCCUACUUUAUGGAUGAGUGUACUGU